rnacentral:rRNA from 1 species
GACGAACGCUGGCGGCGUGCCUAAUACAUGCGAGUUGAGCGCUGAAGGUUGGUACUUGUACCAACUGGAUGAGCAGCGAACGGGUGAGUAACGCGUGGGGAAUCUGCCUUUGAGCGGGGGACAACAUUUGGAAACGAAUGCUAAUACCGCAUAAAAACUUUAAACACAAGUUUUAAGUUUGAAAGAUGCAAUUGCAUCACUCAAAGAUGAUCCCGCGUUGUAUUAGCUAGUUGGUGAGGUAAAGGCUCACCAAGGCGAUGAUACAUAGCCGACCUGAGAGGGUGAACGGCCACAAUGGGACUGAGACACGGCCCAAACUCCUACGGGAGGCAGCAGUAGGGAAUCUUCGGCAAUGGACGAAAGUCUGACCGAGCAACGCCGCGUGAGUGAAGAAGGUUUUCGGAUCGUAAAACUCUGUUGGUAGAGAAGAACGUUGGUGAGAGUGGAAAGCUCAUCAAGUGACGGUAACUACCCAGAAAGGGACGGCUAACUACGUG